ACACUCAGUUUUGUUCCUGCCUGCUUUACCGGCCAACCCUCUCCCAUGCCAGUUGGCAUUUCAUCCCAUGCAUUCAACUCUGGAUCGUAUAUCUCUCCUCCAACAUCAACAAAAAAAAGGCCAGCAAUAUAAGCUCUGAGCCACAAAUAACCUUCCUCUAUAUGAUGCCAUCCCAGUUGCAAUUGGCUUGAGCAAAUCAGCCAGAAAAGCAGUAGGGAGCACCUGAGCCUUGGAAAAAGGCAUGCUUGGAAUUUCAGACCACAUACCAGUAUAAGGAUCAAACACUUCAGCAGAUUGGAGAGAGGUCAGUCCACCACGGCCUUUAGCAACUCCUCCAACAACAUAAAGCUUGUUGUUUAAGAUUCCUGUCUUAGAAAAGGCUCUACCAAUGGACAUUGGACUCAUCUCACUCCAAGCAUUCAGUAUUGGAUUAUACCGCCACACACAUCUCAUGGCUGAAGCUUUAGA
rnacentral:misc_RNA from 1 species